rnacentral:rRNA from 1 species
CAGCAGCCACGGGAAUACGUAGGGUGCAAGCGUUAAUCGGAAUUACUGGGCGUAAAGCGUGCGCAGGCGGUUGUGCAAGACAGAUGUGAAAUCCCCGGGCUUAACCUGGGAACUGCAUUUGUGACUGCACGGCUAGAGCGUGUCAGAGGGGGGUAGAAUUCCACGUGUAGCAGUGAAAUGCGUAGAUAUGUGGAGGAAUACCGAUGGCGAAGGCAGCCCCCUGGGAUAACACUGACGCUCAUGCACGAAAGCGUGGGGAGCAAACAGGAUUAGAUACCCCCGUAGUCCCUGUCUCUUAUAC